rnacentral:sRNA from 1 species
AUGGCGAUGAUGAUAAG